rnacentral:rRNA from 1 species
UACGUAGGGGGCAAGCGUUGUCCGGAAUCAUUGGGCGUAAAGCGCGUGUAGGCGGCUCGGUAAGUCCGCUCUGAAAGUCCAAGGCUCAACCUUGGGAUGCGGGUGGAUACUGCCGGGCUCGAGUCCGGAAGAGGCGAGUGGAAUUCCGUGGUGUAGCGGUGAAAUGCGCAGAUAUCAGGAGGAACACCAAUGGCGAAGGCAGCUCGCUGGGACGUGACUGACGCUGAGACGCGAAAGCGUGGGGAGCAAACAGG